AGGUACACUUUAAGGAUUAGUUGAUCAAGCUGAAAAUAUACAUAGUUUUGGAGGUUGAGGAAUUCAUUCAUUCAUUCAACAAACAUUUGUUGACUGUUUUAUGAGCUGGGUCCUAGGAACUGAAAAUAAACAGUGAAGAGGCCGGGCGCAGUGGCCCACACCUGUAAUCCCAGCACUUUGGGAGGCCGAGGCGGGUGGAUCACGAGGUCAGGAGAUCGAGACCAACCUGGCUAACAUGGUGAAACCCCGUCUGUACUAAAAAUACAAAAAAUUAGCCGGGUGUGAUGGUGGGCGCCUGUGGUCCCAGCUACUGGGGAGGCUGAGGCAGGAGAAUGGUGUGGACCCGGGAGGUGGAGCUUGCAGUGAGCCGAGAUUGGUGCCCACUGCACUCCAGCCUGGGCGACAGAGCGAGACUCCGUCUCAAAAUAAAUAAAUAAAUAAAUAAAUAAAAUAAACAGUGAAGAGGACGAACAAGGUUGGUCUCCUCAGAGACUUUUCCUUUUUUUUUUUUAACAGAGACAGGGCCUAAUUAUGUUGCCUAGGCUGGUCUCAAAAUUCUGGGCUCUCAAGUGAGCCUCCUGCUUUGGCCUCCCAUAGUGCUGGGAUUAGACCGGGAAUUUUCCUUUUAUUAAGUGAGUGGUGUUAGACUGUGGACACGUGAGUAUUCUAUUAGUUGUGACAGGUGUUCUGAAUGAGAGUUUUGCGUGAGAGUAGAGGUAAACUCACCUGCUCUCAAUUUGUAAGGGAGCCAUCUCAGAAUUUUCUCUCUUCUGGCUGGGGAUGAGAGCCAACGUCUUCAUUUCAGAGCAUCUCAGCCGCAUCAGGGGGAUCGUCACACUCUCUGCCAUGAAUAGGUGCCACGGGAUGAAGAGGAGAGUUUCCUGUCAAGGCUGCUGUGUUUUGUUUUUGUUUUGUAGAUAUGGGGUUUCACCAUGUUGCCCAGGCUGGUCUCUAACUCCUGGGCUCAAGGGAUCCACCCGCUUUGACCUCCCAAAUUGUUGGGAUUACAGGUAUGAGCCACAGUGCCUGCCUAAGGUUGCUUUCUGUGUGAAUCAAAGAGGCAUUCAAUAAAUAGUUGUGGGAUUAAUGAAUGUCAUUUCAAGGAGGGUUAAAAGCCAUGGACACCAUCUGUAAAGGGUGUUAUAAUUUGGUUAUCCAGGAAAACAGAAAAUUUCAGCAGUUAUUUGAGAUUUCCAGAAGGGUGAGUAGUUUUGGGACUUGGGGAGAAGGAAUUGGGGUGCUGGGUUUCCAUUCAACAAGUAUGUUUUCCAGCCUGGCCAACACGGCAAAACCUCGUCUCUACUAAAAAUACAAAUAUUACCUGGGUGUGGUGGUGGGUGCCUGUAGCUACUUGGGAGGCUGAGGCAGGAGGAUCGCUUGAACUCCGGAGGCAAGGCAGAGGUUGCAGUGAGCCAAGGUUGCACCACUGCACUCCAUCCUGGGCGACAGAGUGAGACUCCGUCUCAAAAAAAUAAAAUAAUAAAAAAAAAACCACAAGUAUUUUUAGAGAACAUGCAGGCAUUUUGCUAGAGCUAUAUCCAUGAAUGAGACAGACCAGGUACUGCCCUCCUAGGGCUUACAGUCUGGUGAGGGCACAGGCAACAAUAAGAUGAUGUGGUAAUUACUGGGAGGGGGCAGGAAAGAGAGAGAGCAAAGCAGAUUCCAGGAGAAACAGGAGGGAAGAAGGGCUGGGGGAAUAGACUGGCAUAUGCAAAGGUCUAGAGGAGGAAAGAGCAGGUUUAGUCAAAGAACUCAAAAUAGUUCAGCACGGUCAGACUUUGGAGUCUGGUGAGGGACAGGAUGUACAAGCAAGGGGACUCAAUCCAUACAUUCCAGGCAGCCUUCCCCAAGGCGUUCCCCUUGGGGAAAAGCUAAAUUUGCCCAAUCCACAGCUAGCUGUCAUCGUUCUGGAGCCCAGGAGGUCAACCUCAUUUUAAUUAAGACACACCAUUUAUUGAGUCCUGUUAUAGAACAUUGGCUCAUUCAAUUGUCGGGUAACUUUAUUUUCUUCUUCUUCUUAUUUUUUGAGAUGGAGUUUUGCUCUUGUUGCUCAGGCUGGAGUGUAAUGGUGUGAUUUUGGCACACUGCAACCUUCACCUCCCGGGUUCAAGCGAUUCUCCUGCCUCAGCCUCCCAAGUAGCUGGGAUUGCAGGCAUGCGCCACCAUGCCUGGCUAAUUUUGUAUUUUCAGUUGAGACGGGGUUUCUCCAUGUCAGGAAAUGCAAUUCAAUCCUCCCAGUGACUGAUCACUUCGCAAGAUUAAUGGAAUCAUCUCCAACACUGGUCCCUGUUCCAACAGCACAAAAAGUGAAUCAACCUUCUCNNNNNNNNNNNNNNNNNNNNNNNNNNNNNNNNNNNNNNNNNNNNNNNNNNNNNNNNNNNNNACUUAUGUAUCUGUAUCUAAAGAAUAUUUAGCCUGUAAUCCCCCACUUUGGGAGGCUGAGGGGUGGAUCACUUGAGCUCAGGAGUUUGAGAACAGCCUGGGUAACAUGGCAAAACAGAGUCCCUACAAAAAGUACCAAAAUUAGCUGGGCCUGGUCUUGCAUGCCUACAAGUCCCAGCUACUCAGGAGUCUGAGGUGGGAGCAUUGCCUGAGCGCGGGAGGUGGAGGCUACAGUGAGC
rnacentral:lncRNA from 1 species